rnacentral:rRNA from 1 species
UUAUCGGAGAGUUUGAUCCUGGCUCCAGGCGAACGCUGGCGGCGUGCCUAAUACAUGCAAGUCGAGCGGACGAAUCGGGAGCUUGCUCCUGAUGUUGCCCGGCGGACAGGUGAGUAACACGUGGGUAACCUGCCUGUAAGACUGGGAUAACUCCGGGAAACCGGGGCUAAUACCGGAUGGUUUGUUUGAACCGCAUGGUUCAGACAUAAAAGGUGGCUUCGGCUACCACUUACAGAUGGACCCGCGGCGCAUUAGCUAGUUGGUGAGGUAACGGCUCACCCGAGGGCGACGAUGCGUAGCCGACCUGAGAGGGUGAUCGGCCACACUGGGACUGAGACACGGCCCAGACUCCUACGGAGGCGGCAAUGGGAAUCUUCCGCAAUGGACCAGCGUCUGACAGAACAACACCGCGUAAGUGAUAGAAGGUUUUCGGAUCGUAAAGCUCUGUUGUUAGGGAAGAACAAGUGCCGUUCAAAUAGGGCGGCACCUUGACGGUACCUAACCAGAAAGCCACGGCUAACUACGUGCCAGCGGCCGCGGUAAUACGUAGGUGGCAAGCGUUGUCGGAGACCAUUGGGCGUAAAGGGCUCGCAGGCGGUUUCUUAAGUCUGAUGUGUAAGCCCCGGCUCAGCUUGAGAGGUCAUUGGAAACUGGGCAACUUGGCAGGUGCAGAAAAGGAGAGUGGAAUUCCACGUGUAGCGGUGAAAUGCGUAGAGAUGUGGGGGAGACACCAGUGGCGAAGGCGACUCUCUGGUCUGUAACUGACGCUGAGGAGCGUGACAGAAAGAGACGAACAGGAUUAGAUACCCUGGUAGUCCACGCCGUAAACGAUGAAGUGCUAAGUGUUAGGGGGUUUCCGCCCCUUAGUCUUCGCGACUAACGCAUUGCAGCACUCACGCCUGGGAGUACGGUCGCAAGACUGAAACUCAAAGGAAUUGACGGGGGCCCGCACAAGCGGUGGAGCAUGUGGUUUAAUUCGAAGCAACGCGAAGAACCUUACCAGGUCUUGACAUCCUCUGACAAUCCUAGAGAUACGGACGUCCCCUUCGGGGGGCAGGAGUGACAGGUGGUGCAUAGUUGUCGUCAGCUCGUGUCGCGAGAUGUUGGGUUAAGUCCCGCAACGAGCGCAACCCUUGAUCUUAGUUGCCAGCAUUCAGUUGGGCACUCUAAGGUGACUGCCGGUGACAAACCGGAGGAAGGUGGGGAUGACGUCAAAUCAUCAUGCCCCUUAUGACCUGGGCUACACACGUGCUACAAUGGGCAGAACAAAGGGCAACGAAACCGCGAGGUUAAGCCAAUCCCACAAAUCUGUUCUCAGUUCGGAUCGCAGUCUGCAACUCGACUGCGUGAAGCUGGAAUCGCUAGUAAUCGCGGAUCAGCAUGCCGCGGUGAAUACGUUCCCGGGCCUUGUACACACCGCCCGUCACACCACGAGAGUUUGUAACACCCGAAGUCGGUGAGGUAACCUUUUAGGAGCCAGCCGCCGAAGGUGGGACAGAUGAUUGGGGUGAAGUCGUAACAAGGUAGCCGUAUCGGAAGGUGCGGCUGGAUCACCUCCUUU